AUACGAAGGGUGCAAGCGUUACUCGGAAUUACUGGGCGUAAAGCGUGCGUAGGCGGUUUGUUAAGUCUGCUGUGAAAGCCCUGGGCUCAACCUGGGAACUGCAGUGGAUACUGGCGAGCUAGAGUGUGUCAGAGGAUGGUGGAAUUCCCGGUGUAGCGGUGAAAUGCGUAGAGAUCGGGAGGAACACCAGUGGCGAAGGCGGCCAUCUGGGACAACACUGACGCUGAGGCACGAAAGCGUGGGGAGCAAACAGGAUUAGAUACCCUGGUAGUCCACGCCCUAAACGAUGCGAACUGGACGUUGGGCACACUUAGGUGCUCAGUGUCGAAGCUAACGCGUUAAGUUCGCCGCCUGGGGAGUACGGUCGCAAGACUGAA
rnacentral:rRNA from 1 species